rnacentral:ncRNA from 1 species
UUAAAGACUGAUGAGGACUAUUAGAAGCGAUUCUUUGAUGCAGAAAGCGAGUGGUUGCUGGAAACUCGCCAAAGGAUGAUUCGAACUCGUCUCGGAGUUUUCCUAGCCGAAUUUGAGUAAGUUAGGGCGUGUGUUUCGCGUUACGAAAUAAUUGAGGGCCCAGUUAAUUGGGAACAAUAGGUGGUACCGCGGAAUUUCCGUCCUAUAA